GAGUUUGAUCAUGGCUCAGGAUGAACGCUAGCGGCAGGCUUAACACAUGCAAGUCGAGGGGUAUAGUAGCAAUACUAGAGACCGGCGCACGGGUGCGUAACGCGUAUGCAAUCUACCUUUUGCAGAGGGAUAGCCCAGAGAAAUUUGGAUUAAUACCUCAUAGUAUAACACAACCGCAUGGUUGUGUUAUUAAAGUCACAACGGCAAAAGAUGAGCAUGCGUCCCAUUAGCUAGUUGGUAAGGUAACGGCUUACCAAGGCAACGAUGGGUAGGGGUCCUGAGAGGGAGAUCCCCCACACUGGUACUGAGACACGGACCAGACUCCUACGGGAGGCAGCAGUGAGGAAUAUUGGACAAUGAGCGCUAGUCUGAUCCAGCCAUGCCGCGUGCAGGAUGACG
rnacentral:rRNA from 1 species